GCCGAGAUCAUGCCACUGCACUCCAGCCUAGGUGACAGAGCAAGACUCUGUCUCAAAAAAAAAAAUGGAUAUGUAGAUGUACAUAUUUAUGGUAUACAUGUAUUAUUCUGAUAUAAGCAUACAAUGUGUAAUGAUCAAAUCAGGGUAUUUAGGAUACCCAUAACCUCAAACAUUUAUCAUUUCUUUGCAUGGGAACAUUCCAAAUCCACUCCUCUAAUUAUUUUGAUAUCCAUAAUAAAUUAUUAACUAUAGUUGCCCUAUUGUGCUACCAAACACUAGAUCUUAUUCCCUCUAAGUUGGAGAGUCAAAGCGUGGUGUUAAUAUGUUAUCAACAUUAAGUAUUAUAUU
rnacentral:lncRNA from 1 species